rnacentral:rRNA from 1 species
UACGAAGGGGGCUAGCGUUGCUCGGAUUCACUGGGCGUAAAGCGUAUGUAGGUGGUUAAGUAUGUCAGGGGUGAAAGCCCGCCGCUCAACGGCGGAACGGCCUUUGAAACUGCUUAGCUAGAGUGAAGGAGAGGAUGGUGGAAUUCCCGGUGUAGAGGUGAAAUUCGUAGAUAUCGGGGGGAACACCAGUGGCGAAGGCGGCCAUCUGGCCUUUUACUGACACUGAGAUACGACAGCGUGGGGAGCAAACAGG